CCUACGGGGGGCAGCAGUGAGGAAUAUUGGUCAAUGGACGAGAGUCUGAACCAGCCAAGUAGCGUGAAGGAUGACUGCCCUAUGGGUUGUAAACUUCUUUUAUAAAGGAAUAAAACGAGGCACGUGUGCCUUUUUGCAUGUACUUUAUGAAUAAGGAUCGGCUAACUACGUGCCAGCAGCCGCGGUAAUACGUAGGUGGCAAGCGUUGUCCGGAUUUACUGGGUGUAAAGGGCGUGUAGCCGGGCUGACAAGUCAGAUGUGAAAUCCGGGGGCUCAACCAUGAGAGUGCGGCGCGAACUGGAGACCUUGAGUGCGCGGAAGGCAGGCGGAAUUCGUGGUGUAGCGGUGAAAUGCUUAGAUAUCACGAAGAACCCCGAUUGCGAAGGCAGCCUGCCGCAGCGUUACUGACGCUGAAGCUCGAAAGCGCGGGUAUCGAACAGGAUUAGAUACCCUGGUAGUC
rnacentral:rRNA from 1 species